rnacentral:rRNA from 1 species
AUGGUAGGAUAGAGGCCUACCAUGGUGGUAACGGGUAACGGGGUGUUAGGGCACGACACCGGAGAGGGAGCCUGAGAAACGGCUACCACAUCCAAGGAUGGCAGCAGGCGCGCAAAUUACCCAAUCCCGACACGGGGAGGUAGUGACAAUAAAUAACAAUACGGGGUUCUUUAGGAUCUCGUAAUUGGAAUGAGUACAAUUUAAAUCUCUUAACGAGGAACAAUUGGAGGGCAAGUCUGGUGCCAGCAGCCGCGGUAAUUCCAGCUCCAAUAGCGUAUAUUAAAGUUGUUGCGGUUAAAAAGCUCGUAGUUGAAUUUCGGGGUCAGUAGGUCGGUCGUGCCACUGGUAUGAACUGGUUUUACUGAUUCCUCCCUCUUGAAGAACUGUAAUGCCAUUAAUUUGGUGUUGCAGGGAAUCAGGACUGUUACUUUGAAAAAAUUAGAGUGUUUAAAGCAGGCUUUAGCUUGAAUACAUUAGCAUGGAAUAAUGAAAUAGGACGUUUGAUCCUAUUUUGUUGGUUUCUAGGAUUGACGUAAUGAUUAAUAGGGAUAGUUGGGGGCAUUAGUAUUCAAUUGUCAGAGGUGAAAUUCUUGGAUUUAUUGAAGACUAACUACUGCGAAAGCAUUUGCCAAGGAUGUUUUCAUUAAUCAAGAACGAAAGUUAGGGGAUCGAAGACGAUCAGAUACCGUCGUAGUCUUAACCAUAAACUAUGCCGACUAGGGAUCGGAUGAUGUUAAUUUUUUAAUGACUCAUUCGGCGCCUUACGGGAAACCAAAGUGUUUGGG